GCUGCUAAUGUGGGUGGAUCUAGGCUUGUAUUGAGUGCAGAAAGGAUGGCACCAGCCAUUGGAACCGCAAAGUGAAGCUCGUAAUGGGCAGGGGUAGCGAUCGACGGUUUGGUGGCAGCGACGGGAACUCGGGAAGUAUUAUAGGAUAUUGAUAUAAUGCGGGGAUGAAAUAUAAUGCGCAAGAUGACGUGACGAAGAGAGUUUUGGUGGCCGCAUUCUCUUUCAAUACGUGAAAAGGGAGGGUUGUAUUUGUGGAAAGAAUAUUUUAGACAAUUCUUUCUGUGUGACUUUCAAUAGACGUGUGUUUCUUUUGUUAAGUUUGUGUAGAUUAAAGUAAAUAUUGUACUAAUUUCUUUGUAAUCUUUAAAUUUAUUUAAUAUCUUAUAUUUAA